rnacentral:rRNA from 1 species
AUUGAACGCUGGCGGCAUGCUUUACACAUGCAAGUCGAACGGUAGCAGGGUGCUUGCACCGCUGACGAGUGGCGAACGGGUGAGUAAUGCGUCGGAACGUGCCGAGUAGUGGGGGAUAACGCAGCGAAAGUUGUGCUAAUACCGCAUACGUACUGAGGUAGAAAGUGGGGGACCUUCGGGCCUCACGCUAUUCGAGCGGCCGACGUCUGAUUAGCUAGUAGGUGGGGUAAAGGAUCACCUAGGCGACGAUCAGUAGCGGGUCUGAGAGGAUGAUCCGCCACACUGGGACUGAGACACGGCCCAGACUCCUACGGGAGGCAGCAGUGGGGAAUUUUGGACAAUGGGCGAAAGCCUGAUCCAGCCAUGCCGCGUGUCUGAAGAAGGCCUUCGGGUUGUAAAGGACUUUUGUCAGGGAGGAAAUCCCUAGCGUUAAUACCGCUGGGGGAUGACAGUACCUGAAGAAUAAGCACCGGCUAACUACGUGCCAGCCGCCGCAGUAAUAC